rnacentral:ribozyme from 1 species
GUAGUAGUACCGUAGUAGAUGGUAAUAGCAGCGCUGGUGGUGGCGUAAUACCAGAACCACAAUUCGCACCUGUCGUCGAGUCACCCAAGUUCUUACCGAAUGGUUGGUGUCCAUUACCAUCCGACGAUGCUUCAGCCG